GAUGAACGCUGGCGGCGUGCUUAACACAUGCAAGUCGAGCGAGUGAGUUCUUUGGAACGAUCUAGCGACGGACGGGUGAGUAACACGUGGGCAACCUGCCUCAUAGAGGGGAAUAGCCUCCCGAAAGGGAGAUUAAUACUGCAUAAAAUUAUCGAGUGGCAUCACAUGAUAAUCAAAGGAGCAAUCCGCUAUGAGAUGGGCCCGCGGCGCAUUAGCUAGUUGGUGAGGUAACGGCUCACCAAGGCGACGAUGCGUAGCCGACCUGAGGGGGUGAUCGGCCACAUUGGGUCUGAGACACGGCCCAGACUCCUACGGGAGGCAGCAGUGGGGAAUAUUGCACAAUGGGGGAAACCCCGAUGCAGCAACGCCGCGUGAGUGAUGAAGGUCUUCGGAUUGUAAAGCUCUGUCUUUGGGGACGAUAAUGACGGUACCCAAGGAGGAAGCCACGGCUAACUACGUGCCAGCCGCCGCGGUAA
rnacentral:rRNA from 1 species